UCGAAACCUGCCCAGCAGAAAGACCCGCGAACAGGUUGAGCACUCACCCGGGGGGA
rnacentral:rRNA from 1 species